rnacentral:misc_RNA from 1 species
AACAUCGCGCACCUGCGGGAACCUGCGGAAGGAUCAUUAUCCAUCCAAAACCAGCUGCGGUCGCGGCCCCACGCUUACCCGUGGCGGUACGCGCCGCACGUCUGCACCCUUUUUUUACGAGUACCUUCGUUCUCCCUCGGCAGGGCAACCUGCCGUUGGAACCAUACAAAACCUUUUUUUGCAUCUAGCAUUACCUGUUCUGAUACAAACAAUCGUUACAACUUUCAACAACGGAUCUCA